rnacentral:rRNA from 1 species
GACGAACGCUGGCGGCGUGCUUAACACAUGCAAGUCGAACGGAAAGGCCCUGCUUUUGUGGGGUGCUCGAGUGGCGAACGGGUGAGUAACACGUGAGUAACCUGCCCUUGACUUUGGGAUAACUUCAGGAAACUGGGGCUAAUACCGUAUAGGAGCUCCUGCUGCAUUGUGGGGGUGGGAAAGUUUCGGCGGUUGGGGUUGGACUCGCGGCUUAUCAGCUUGUUGGUGGGGUAGUGGCUUACCAAGGCUUUGACGGGUAGCCGGCCUGGGAGGGUGACCGGCCACAUUGGGACUGAGAUACGGCCCAGACUCCUACGGGAGGCAGCAGUGGGGAAUAUUGCACAAUGGGCGGAAGCCUGAUGCAGCAACGCCGCGUGCGGGAUGACGGCCUUCGGGUUGUAAACCGCUUUCGCCUGUGACGAAGCGUGAGUGACGGUAAUGGGUAAAGAAGCACCGGCUAACUACGUG